UUGGACUUGAUGAUCUCAGAGGUCCUUUCCAACCCGGCUGAUUCUAUGAUUCUGUGAUUCUGUGAUUCCCGGGCUACACCGACCCGCGCUGCCCCCGAGCAGCUUCCUCGCCGAGCGCCCGCAAGAGCACAACAAUCAUUCAGAAUCCAAAGUGGAAGAAUCUAGCAUACUGUCACCUGCUGAAUCAUCUGAGGACCAGACACCUGUAGUUGAAUCCCCACCAUCACUGGAUGACUUACCUGCGUUUAAAACACCAGCUGUCUGUAGUGGAAUUGCCAGUGUCUGCAGAUGAGCUGAUUAUUGAGAAACUACCACGUUCUGAGGACCAGUUACCGCUCAUUGAAUAGUCCACAUCCAGGGAAAGCUCACCUGACAUCGGAUCAUCUGUGGGUGAACUGUCAAGUUUUGAAGUCAAGAUAUACAUGUCUGACUCCACACAGGAUGGUAACAGAUCUGAGGCUGCAGCAGCAGCAGCAGAGACUGCAUAUGAAACACCAGAGCCAACGAUAUUUGAAAAUGCCUAUCAAAUGUCCAUCGAUUAUGUGGAGAAACAUAACAUUAUGCAGAUAUUUCAGGAGAUCACAGAAAAAUUGGUGUACUCUAAACCUGAUGACCCCUUGAAGUUCAUACUGAUGGAGGUGCAGUCUAUGAUAGAAGCCAGGCAGGCAGAAAUGGAGAGAAUAUCAGAGGAGAACAAAGAUGUGCAAGUGCUCUAAUUUCCUGAUGGAUGGCAAUGUAUUCCCAAAUGACUGUCUCUAUGACUAUGAAGAGAACGCCAUAGAAACUUCAUCUAUCUAUUUUUAGCUAAAAGUCUGAUGAUUAGGUUGUGUGAUUCUCUGCAGCACAGCUUGGGCCCGAAAAGUCUGGGAAUAACAGACGCAAGUAUUUGACAUACAAAUUCCAUGUCUGAGAAGAGUUUCUUUUUUAUCUAAGGUUCUCAAAAAAAAAAAAAAUCAGUAACUCAUAUUUUUCCAGGUUAAAGGUAGGUAAGCACCCAUCAUUCUUAGAGCAGGGAGGUUUUUAAGGUUAUUUUGAGCCUAGGAGUGGCUCAAGAUUCAGAUUCAAUCUUUGUUGGUUUUGUAAGAACAAGCAUUGAGGCCAUGUUGCUGAGAACACAGCUGCACUGGGCAGGGCAUGUCUCAAGGAUGAAGGACCACCGCCUCCCGAAGAUCUUGCUUUAUGGUGAACUUGCCACCGGCUGCCACAAGAGAGGAGCCCCAAAGAGAAGAUACAAGGACUCCCUGAAACAACAUCUCAGCCUCGGCCAUAUUGAUCAACAUAACUGGUCUACUCUGGCCUCCAACUGGGAGGUCUGGAGACACACCAUCUAUAACGCUGCUGAUG
rnacentral:lncRNA from 1 species